CCCAGUUCUUGUAAUUUAUAUUCAAAUUCAGAAUAUGGUGAAUCAGGUGGAAGCUUAGAAAUAUAUUCUUCUGCCUUAGCAAGGGCAGACUGAAGUCCGGAUAUGCUCUGUAUCCGAUCAUUCAACAUCAAGGCAUGCCCUUUAUAUUUGUGUGCUCGAAGGAAAUCAUUUAAAGGUUCCAAGCAGUCCUUGUUACGAAACAUAAUUGAAGAAAGAUGGCGAUUGAGGAAUUGAACACCAUUGCCAAUAGAUGAAGACCGGUUGGGACGAGGAACAUCAGCAUUAA
rnacentral:misc_RNA from 1 species